AUCGAUAAUCCACGUUACAUUUCACUUUAAUCCAAAAUUUAUAUACCGCCAUCUAAAGAAAUAAUUUAUAAAUAUUUUUCUUAAUAAAUUAUAAAAAGUUAGGUCAAGGUGUAAUCCAUAUCAAAGAAUAAGAUGAAUUACAUUAAAUACAAUUUAAAAUUUAUAAUAAUUAUAUAAUACAAAUAAGAAUUUAAAAGUAAUAUUCAAAUAAUAAUACAAUAUGAUAAAGAUAAUAAAUGUGCACACAUCGCCC
rnacentral:rRNA from 1 species